rnacentral:rRNA from 1 species
UAAUACCGCAUAACGUCGCAAGACCAAAGAGGGGGACCUUCGGGCCUCUUGCCAUCGGAUGUGCCCAGAUGGGAUUAGCUAGUAGGUGGGGUAACGGCUCACCUAGGCGACGAUCCCUAGCUGGUCUGAGAGGAUGACCAGCCACACUGGAACUGAGACACGGUCCAGACUCCUACGGGAGGCAGCAGUGGGGAAUAUUGCACAAUGGGCGCAAGCCUGAUGCAGCCAUGCCGCGUGUAUGAAGAAGGCCUUCGGGUUGUAAAGUACUUUCAGCGGGGAGGAAGGCGAUAAGGUUAAUAACCUUGUCGAUUGACGUUACCCGCAGAAGAAGCACCGGCUAACUCCGUGCCAGCAGCCGCGGUAAUACGGAGGGUGCAAGCGUUAAUCGGAAUUACUGGGCGUAAAGCGCACGCAGGCGGUCUGUCAAGUCGGAUGUGAAAUCCCCGGGCUCAACCUGGGAACUGCAUUCGAAACUGGCAGGCUAGAGUCUUGUAGAGGGGGGUAGAAUUCCAGGUGUAGCGGUGAAAUGCGUAGAGAUCUGGAGGAAUACCGGUGGCGAAGGCGGCCCCCUGGACAAAG